rnacentral:rRNA from 1 species
UUUGCCAUAUCAAUAAGCGGAGGAAAAGAAACCAACCGGGAUUGCCUUAGUAACGGCGAGUGAAGCGGCAAAAGCUCAAAUUUGAAAUCUGGUACCUUUGGUGCCCGAGUUGUAAUUUGGAGAGGGCAACUUUGGGACCGUUCCUUGUCUAUGUUCCUUGGAACAGGACGUCAUAAAGGGUGAGAAUCCCGUGUGGCGAGGAGUGCGGUUCUAUGUAAAGUGCCUUCGAAGAGUCGAGUUGUUUGGAAAUAA